AAUACAUCGGAACGUGUCCUUAAGUGGGGAAUAACGCAUCGAAAGAUGUGCUAAUACCGCAUAUCUCUGAGGAGAAAAGCAGGGGAUCGCAAGACCUUGCGCUAAAGGAGCGGCCGAUGUCUGAUUAGCUAGUUGGUGGGGUAAAGGCUUACCAAGGCAACGAUCAGUAGUUGGUCUGAGAGGACGGCCAACCACACUGGGACUGAGACACGGCCCAGACUCCUACGGGAGGCAGCAGUGGGGAAUUUUGGACAAUGGGCGAAAGCCUGAUCCAGCCAUGCCGCGUGAGUGAAGAAGGCCUUCGGGUUGUAAAGCUCUUUUAGUCGGAAAGAAAGAGUUGCAAUGAAUAAUUGUGAUUUAUGACGGUACCGACAGAAAAAGCACCGGCUAACUACGUGCCAGCAGCCGCGGUAAUACGUAGGGUGCGAGCGUUAAUCGGAAUUACUGGGCGUAAAAGGGGUGCGCAGGCGGUCUUGCAAGUCAGAUGUGAAAGC
rnacentral:rRNA from 1 species